CUAAACUUUAUCACUUGAGUACUUCGGUCAAGAAUCAUUUUUUUCUUUUUAAACCUUGAAACAUUUUAAUUUCAAUGCGAGUCGGUCCUUACUGGUCUGGAUGGAAAUAAGUGUGCACAAUAUUUUUGUACAUCGGUCAUCACUUUUAAGAUUAGGCCGAUGAAAGUUGCAGGUCAAAGCAGAUUGGGAUUUUUUUAAGUUAAUUGUUCCAAUGGUCACUAAAUUUGGAUCCAUAUCUUUAAUUGAUCACUGAAAUUUAAAAUAUCCAAUUUUGAUCACUGAAUUUAAAUCGAUGUCUUCGAUUGCUUAUUGAACUUAGGUCCAUAUCUUUGAUUGCUCACUGAAAUUUUAAAUAUCAAAUUUUGAUUUCUUCAGAUUCAGUUCUCACUCCAAUUUGGGUCUGUAUGUAUGUAAUUCUAGCAGUGAAAUCACUUCUCCAAUACUCACACUCUCUCUCUCUCACUGUAACAAUAAUAAUAAUGGUAAGAAACAAAUGGAAAAUCAAAUCAUACCCACAGAUUGACACUAUACACACAGAAAGAGAGGGAGUGAAGAACAGUUUUUUAGUGAGAGAAAGUAGAGAUCCCAAUCCCCAGCUACAAGGAUUGGCGCUUAUUGUUCAAGCAUCUUUUUCUUCCUUGUUAGUUUUAUCAACCAAUUAUAAUAUGCAGAUUAAUCAUAUAAUUAUUUUAUUUUAUAUGCACACACACAGAGAUACAUAACAAAUACGUAUAUAUCGUAUAGCUAAUAGCUUCUCUCAUGUGCAAAUAGUAGACAGAACCGGUGGUUACACUGUCAAUGUAGAGCGAGAAAUGGUUGUCUAUACGUACAUGUAUAUGUAUGUAUAGGUAAAUACGUACAUAUAUAACGCUGACUAGCACCGACAAUUUCCCGAAAAUGACGG
rnacentral:lncRNA from 1 species